GAUGAAUAACGUAGCGAAAUGCGAUACGUAAUGUGAAUUGCAGAAUUCAGUGAAUCAUCGAAUCUUUGAACGCACCUUGCACUCUUUGGUAUUCCGAAGAGUAUGUCUGUUUGAGUGUCAUGAAACUCUCAACCCCCUUAUUUUGUAAUGAAAUAAGAGUGGGCUUGGUUUAUGGUUGUUGAUGGCGUCUGUCAUCUCAGCUGAAAUAUACAAGUUACCAAUUUUGUAAUAGACGGUUUGACUUGGCGUAAUAAUUAUUUCGCUAAGGACGUCACUUUACAAUAAGUAAACGGUGCUUCUAAUCCCAUUAUUUUAAGAUUUAGACCUCAAAUCAGUCAGGACUACCCGCUGAACUUAAGCAUAUCAAUAAGCGGAGGA
rnacentral:misc_RNA from 1 species